AUCGGAUAGCUCUGUCGGGCCUCACUGUCAUGACGCUUAUGAUUCAUACGAACCCAUGAGUCCAGAAGAUGAAGAACUUCUUGAUGUCAUAUCCUGGUGGCAGCAACAAUGAUACUAGAUGCCGUGGCAUACGGAGAUCAAAGUGCGGCCAGUAAGCGGCUUCUUGAUUGU